rnacentral:rRNA from 1 species
CAGUAGCCACGGUAAUACAGAGGGUGCGAGCGUUAAUCGGAUUUACUGGGCGUAAAGCGCGCGUAGGUGGCCAAUUAAGUCAAAUGUGAAAUCCCUGAGCUUAACUUGGGAAUUGCAUUCGAUACUGGUUGGCUAGAGUAUGGGAGAGGAUGGUAGAAUUCCAGGUGUAGCGGUGAAAUGCGUAGAGAUCUGGAGGAAUACCGAUGGCGAAGGCAGCCAUCUGGCCUAAUACUGACACUGAGGUGCGAAAGCAUGGGGAGCAAACAGGAUUAGAUACCCGUGUAGUCCCUGUCUCUUAUAC